AUACGGAGGGUGCAAGCGUUGUUCGGAUUUACUGGGCGUAAAGAGCGUGUAGGCGGUUUAGCAAGUCAGAUGUGAAAGCCCCGGGCUCAACCCGGGAAGUGCAUUUGAAACUGCUUCAAUAGAGUAUGGGAGAGGAGAUUGGAAUUCCUGGUGUAGAGGUGAAAUUCGUAGAUAUCAGGAGGAACACCCGUGGCGAAGGCGAUUCUCUGGACCAAUACUGACGCUGAGACGCGAAAGCGUGGGGAGCAAACAGGAUUAGAUACCCGGGUAGUCC
rnacentral:rRNA from 1 species